rnacentral:SRP_RNA from 1 species
GCCCGGGUCCUGCGCAACCACGUCCUGUGAAUCCCGUCAGGUCCGGAAGGAAGCAGCGGUAAACGGGAACCGGGUGUGCCGCAGGGAAACCCGGGUUCG